UACGUAGGGGGCGAGCGUUGUCCGGAAUUACUGGGCGUAAAGGGUGCGUAGGUGGCUAAUUAAGUUGGAUGUGAAAUACCCGGGCUUAACCUGGGGGGUGCAUUCAAAACUGGUUGGCUAGAGUGCAGGAGAGGGAAGCGGAAUUCCUAGUGUAGCGGUGAAAUGCGUAGAUAUUAGGAGGAACACCAGUGGCGAAGGCGGCUUUCUGGACUGUAACUGACACUGAGGCACGAAAGCGUGGGGAGCAAACAGGAUUAGAUACCCUGGUAGUCCACGCUGUAAACGAUGAAUACUAGGUGUAGGGGGUAUGAACUCCCCCUGUGCCGCAGCAAACGCAAUAAGUAUUCCGCCUGGGGAGUACGGCCGCAAGGUUGAA
rnacentral:rRNA from 1 species